rnacentral:ncRNA from 1 species
UAAGAGUUUGAUUCUUGCUUGGCCUUUAAUGUUUCGGUUAGGGCACAUGAAAGUUUAAGCUGAGUUAGGGUGAAGAUAAUUUAGUUAGAGCGAUGGGCUUGUUCUCAGUGCAUAGGAUUGGAUCUAUGAGGUGUUCUUUGAGCCAGUAAUCAAGUGUUAGUCCAGGCUAAAAUUGUGCCAGCAGCCGCGGUUAUACUGAUAGGGCAGUUGUAGGUCUGUCGUGAUUGGGAGUAUUGGAUGGGCCCAGGAGGGUUGGAUUCAUUAGGAUUAAAGGGUGAAAUUUAUUAGUCGUUAGUGUGGUCAGCUUGAGGUGGGGGGUCUUGAAUUUCUGAAGUCUGAGGUAUAGAGCAGGAUUAGAUACCCUGUUAUGCUUAGUAGAAAUUAGUUGGAUCUUUGGGUAGUAAACAGGUAUAGUCUCGAAACUCAAAGAAUUUGGCGGCAUCUAAGUCUAGUUAGAGGAACUUGUGCAGUGAACGAUAAUCCACGAGAAUCUUGCCCUAUUUUGUAAUUUUCAGUUUGUAUACCGCCAUUAUUAGGUAAUCUUUUUAGAGAGUUAUUGCGAUUAAGUUGGGUUAAGUAUAUUAGGUCAAGGUGCAGCUUAUAGUGGGGUUGUUGUGAGUUACAGUGGUAUAAGAGUUAUACGGAUGGGUCCCGGGAGCGGGGUCUUUAAGGCGGAUUUAAUUGUAAGGGGUGUUUAUCAUGCAUGUACUUGAUAGGAGCUCUUGGAUGUGUACACAUCGCCCGUCGCUCUCACUUUAAGGUGAGGUAAGUCGUAACAUAGUAGGUGUGUUGGAAGGGGCACCUAGAAGUAU